AGUGAACGCUGGCGGUAGGCCUAACACAUGCAAGUCGAACGGCAGCACAGUAAGAGCUUGCUCUUACGGGUGGCGAGUGGCGGACGGGUGAGGAAUACAUCGGAAUCUACUUUUUCGUGGGGGAUAACGUAGGGAAACUUACGCUAAUACCGCAUACGACCUACGGGUGAAAGCAGGGGAUCUUCGGACCUUGCGCGAUUGAAUGAGCCGAUGUCGGAUUAGCUAGUUGGCGGGGUAAAGGCCCACCAAGGCGACGAUCCGUAGCUGGUCUGAGAGGAUGAUCAGCCACACUGGAACUGAGACACGGUCCAGACUCCUACGGGAGGCAGCAGUGGGGAAUAUUGGACAAUGGGCGCAAGCCUGAUCCAGCCAUACCGCGUGGGUGAAGAAGGCCUUCGGGUUGUAAAGCCAUUUUGUUGGGAAAGAAAAGCAGCAGGUUAAUACCCCGCUGUUCUGACGGUACCCAAAGAAUAAGCACCGGCUAACUUCGU
rnacentral:rRNA from 1 species